AUCCGCGUGAGUGAAGAAGGCCUUCGGGUUGUAAAGCUCUUUCGCAAGGGAAGAAAACUUAUGAUCGAAUAAAUCAUGAGGUUGACGGUACCUUGAUAAGAAGCACCGGCUAACUACGUGCCAGCAGCCGCGGUAAUACGUAGGGUGCGAGCGUUAAUCGGAAUUACUGGGCGUAAAGCGUGCGCAGGCGGUUUUGUAAGUCGGAUGUGAAAUCCCCGGGCUCAACCUGGGAACUGCGUUCGAAACUGCAAGGCUAGAGUGUGUCAGAGGGGGGUAGAAUUCCACGUGUAGCAGUGAAAUGCGUAGAGAUGUGGAGGAAUACCAAUGGCGAAGGCAGACCCCUGGGAUAACACUGACGCUCAUGCACGAAAGCGUGGGGAGCAAACAGGAUUAGAUAACCUGGUAGUCCACGCCCUAAACGAUGUCAACUAGUUGUUGGUAGAGUAAAAUCUAUGAGUUAACGUAGCUAACGCGUGAAGUUGAACCGCCUGGGGAGUACAGGUCGCCAGAUUAAAACUUCAAAGGAAUUGACGGGGGCCCGCACAAA
rnacentral:rRNA from 1 species